UGUACUACAUAAAUAUUUGACCUUGUCUGUUUUAUUCGAUAUCAUUUGAUUUUUCAAAUAGAUUUCUUUUUGCAAUCGAUCAAAUUAUUGCAAGUUUGAUUAAUAUUAUUUGUCUGUAAUCAACAGCAAUAAAUUUAGUCGUAAAGGGUACAGUCGGUCACUCUCAGUUUGCUCUGCUUUUGGGAGCGCGAUAACGGUUAGGGAAAAAGGUCGAUUGUGUUGGUGAGAGCAGACGGUAUAAAAGAUCAUGGAUAAAAAUCGCUCUUUCUCACUUCCUGUCAAAGUAUCAGCUGCAGUGUAACGUCGCAAUUGUUUUUGUCCUGGAACCGGGGUGAAGAUUCUGAUUUGCGCUUCAUUUUAAAAUGGAGUUAUUUUCUGUGAACUCAUUCUGGUACACUGUACCCAUGCAGCAGCUGGUCGAGGACGAACUUGAGCUUCAUUUCGCCGGUCCCCCUGGUAGCCAUGUGCCGGCGCUAUAAGCCUAGCGUUUCUGGUAACAAAUUUAAUAGAAAUUACAGUGGUUGGUAUCUUUGCCGAAGAGAUGUGUGAAUAAUAACGUUCCGGCACGGUCAGAAACACUAGCAAAGUUCCUCUACUAAUCGGUUGACGGAGACUACUGGAGAAGACAACCAAUGUUUCGUUGGUGGCUUCCGGAGGCCAACACUUCUUCCUGCUGCGGUGGCUAUUGCCUCCCAUGGGAAGUAGUUUAUAUGUAAGGAUAAUGGAUAGGGAGCAUUUUGUGUGUGUGACAAUAAAACAAAUUAAAAGUGUA